CAAGAAUUGUAGAGUAACAGAGGAACAUUGAAGUGGAAUGCCCACAGAUCUCUGAAGGAUGAAUUCCUGCUUUAGCAAGUUACCAGUUGAAGAACUAUCAGCUUCAUCUGGCACUGGAGCUACAGGCAACCCCACCAUGCCAUGAAACCCAUUGUCAUUUGAUCAUGAAGAAACUAUUUUCAGAAAAGUAAACCAGGGAACCUGGCAGUCACUUGGGCUGAAAGCCAUACCUUGUGCUCCAAGCAAAAGAAACCACCCAAGACAACCUCGACAUGACUAUUUCUGAAUUAAAGUGCCUUUGCUCAGAGUUAUAAUGCAGCUUUCACAAAUCUACCUGACAAACUGUACUCAGAAAGAAAUAUUCACUUUCAAAUUUGCAACUGCUUCAAACAAAAUCCAAAUUUGGAACUGCUUCAAACAAAACCCAAAUUUGGAACUGCUUCAAAUAAAACUAGCAGCAAGAGGCACAGCAGAGCAAAUCUCACUGAAUAUAUGGGCACCAGAAAUGAUGGUCACAUUCAUUUCAAAUGUAAACACUAUAAAUGUUGCUCGUAGCUGACAUGUUUGAUGAAAAGACCUUAUGUUUUACAGUUCCACCUUAAAGUAAAAUACUGAUGUGGUAUUCCCACCUUCGGAAAAAUAAAGAUGGAAUAACAGUUUCAAUCAGAAGACCUUCAUAUAUCUCAAAUCCAGUCCCCACCCCACAAUCAUCUGUACAUUUUUUCUUUGUGCAUUUGUAAUAGCCCUGAAUUCUGUUUGUCGAAAAGAGCCUAUUUCUUUCUUGUUUCAUCACCUUGGCAACCAUUUCAUUUUAUUAUCAGUCCUUAAGUUAAAGGAUACAGUCUGCUUUUCCUAUUUUGUUGCCAUUAGUUUAUACAUAUGGCCCCUUAAUGCUUAAAUUCUGUGCAGAACAGAAAAGCUCUGUUAAGCCAAAUUGUUUGGACUUCAUUUCUUAAAACUGAGCCCAGUUUUUAAAGAUUUCAGCGCACUAUUCGUUGCUCUAAUCUCAAAGGAUUGAUGUUGCCGACAAUAUUUAAAUUACAAAUGCUCAAAACAAGUGCAAUAUACCGGAUGGUCUGGAACAUUUGAGCAAAACACUAAUUGAUGUACCAGUAGGUUGCCUCAACUUUAUUCAGGUCAGAUCUAAGAUUGACCCAGAACAGGACAGAAACUUGGCUAUUAAACCUGCAGAGAAUAUGGUCAAAAUCAGUCUUCUUUGCCCAAGACAAUUUAUGAACCUGACUGCUAUCCAGAUCAGAUGACUUUAUGGAAGAAUCAAAUCCGAAAACUUUUAAUUUGUGAGGUAUUCUGCCUUUACAAAAUGAAGCAGAGAGAGAACUCAGCACCAAUGUCUGCUGCACCAAGUGCUGUCUGAGGCAGCAUGCAAAUAUAAAAUUAAUCCGAUUCUGGAAGUUUUGUCAUGGUUGUCAGGUAGAAUUACGUUUCUUUUAAAACAAAAAGGAGAAAAAGAAAGCAGUCAUAUUAUCUGGAAAUGAUUUCCUGCCUUCUGAUAAUCACCUAAUAGGGAUUAGUAACUUACAGAGGCAGGAAAUAAAAAUUAUUGAAUAAAAUGAAAACAUGUUAUUGUCUAUAACAUAAUUAAUAUUUUUUAGGUUAAAAUUGUUUGUUAAAAAAUGAAUUGCCCAAACUUUACAAGUAACAGCUGUAACAUAUAUAGUGGAAAGAGCAAGUUUGUGAUUCCUCAAUAUAAAUCAACUUGCCUGGAUCCAACUGACAAUAUGGAAUAUAAAGGAAUGGGGGAAUAAGUAUCCUUCUACUCGCCAUGCUUAUUUUCAUGAUAUUUUUCUUUAUUCGUAAGACGUUUAAACAUAUUAGAACCGUCAUAUAUUUUCCACUAUUUUAUUUUAUUCUUUUUCUUAUUUUUAAUUUGGAGCUGUGAAUUGUGAGUUGAGACCUAAAAGGCGACCUUGGGAUUGUGAGCAGCAGCUUGUGUUUAUAAAAGAAAAACAAACUUUAUUUUGUUUUUAAAGCCAGACCUGAAGGUUAAUUGCUGGUAUUUCUUGUUUUAA